rnacentral:rRNA from 1 species
GUAGUCCACGCCGUAAACGAUGAUAACUGGUUGUGCGCGAUACACAGUGCGCGACUGAGCGAAAGCAUUAAGUUAUCCACCUGGGGAGUACGUUGGCAACAAUGAAACUCAAAGGAAUUGACGGGGGCCCGCACAAGCGGAGGAACAUGUGGUUUAAUUCGAUGAUACGCGAGGAACCUUACCUGGGCUUAAAUGUAGAGUGCAUGACUUGGAAACAGGUCUUUCCUUCGGGACUCUUUACAAGGUGCUGCAUGGUUGUCGUCAGCUCGUGCCGUGAGGUGUCGGGUUAAGUCCCAUAACGAGCGCAACCCCUAUCGUUAGUUGCUAGCAGGUAAUGCUGAGGACUCUAGCGAAACUGCCGGUGUAAACCGAGAGGAAGGUGGGGAUGACGUCAAAUCAGCACGGCCCUUAUGUCCAGGGCUACACACGUGUUACAAUGGUCGAUACAAUGGGCAGCUACUUGGUGACAAGAUGCUAAUCUCCAAAGUCGAUCUCAGUUCGGAUCGAAGUCUGCAACUCGACUUCGUGAAGUUGGAUUCGCUAGUAAUCGUAUAUCAGCAAUGAUACGGUGAAUACGUUCCCGGGCCUUGUACACACCGCCCGUCAAACCAUGGAAGCUGGGGGUACCUGAAGUACGUGACCGCAAGGAGCGUCCUAGGGUAAAACUGGUAACUGGGGUU